AUCGCUUCUCGGCCUUUUGGCUAAGAUCAAGUGUAGUAUCACUAUGAUUCCAGGCAUUCUUUGACAUAUGCUGCUCUUGCUACUGUUUUGGGAGCUUGGAUAAAUUUAAU
ensembl:snRNA U2 U2 spliceosomal RNA